rnacentral:rRNA from 1 species
UACGGGGGGGGCAAGCGUUGUUCGGAAUUACUGGGCGUAAAGGGCUCGUAGGUGGCCAACUAAGUCAGACGUGAAAUCCCUCGGCUUAACCGGGGAACUGCGUCUGAUACUGGAUGGCUUGAGUUUGGGAGAGGGACGCGGAAUUCCAGGUGUAGCGGUGAAAUGCGUAGAUACUGGGAGGAACACCGGUGGCGAAGGCGGCUACCUGGACCGGAACUGACGCUGAGGCGCGAAAGCGUGGGUAGCAAACAGG